CGUAAAUACACUGAAAUAUAAUCAUCCUUUAAGAUUUAAUAUCAAAUGUAAUGCUUACCUACACGUUUCAGACGCUAAAUCUCUGUACUAAACUGUAUCUAUUUACCUCUUUUCGUUUGGUAUCGAUCGGAUUAGACUAUAUUCGGAUAGCUGGGCAGACUUCUCUGAAUGUAUAUCAUGCACAAUUUUCCAAAAUUUUAGAAAUUUGGUUCUAAGACCAUAUAUCAAAUUUCAUCCAUCUAGCUCACAGUAUUUUUGAGGUAUAUUAUUUGUUAGCACAGAUAGGUAUAUAAUUCCAAAACUAUGAUUUUUGAAUUCAGAGUGGUUUGAAACGUAUGGAUUCGUCAAAAACCAGAGUUUGUAUUCUUUCGACGGUUAUAAUACUUUAUCUUCACAUCCAAGAAAGGGCCACGGCGGCCUGGGGGAAGGCCUAGGCUUCGGAACUGGAGGGUAUCAAGCUCGAUACCUAAAUCCAUCGAAGAACUGUUAUGUAAGCGGGCCUGGAGUACGCUAAAUUCGUCUAGGGCAAAUGUCCUCCUGCCCGUCUGGAGAGGAAUUUGGUGAUACCAACUCAACUGUCUCUCCAUAUGGCCACGGUUCAAAAUUACGAGGACCAUCCCAAAAUAAACCUAGUGUUGUUUUAAUGCGGGAACGUUAAUUAAACUAAACUGGCAUACAAGAAAGUAAAAAAAAAAUCAAUAAGUCCAGCUAAAGAAUAAGAAUGAUAUUUGAUUAAGAUUUUAUUCUGAAUUUCAUUUAAUUAUUAUUUUUAUUCUUCUGCUCAAGAAAAUUGAGAAUACAUUGGAAAUAAAUAGGAAAAAAAAAACGAUUGCUUUGCGUUUGAAAAGUGAAUUCUUUCCUUUUCAAGAAUAAUAAAAACGAACCCAGACAAAGAAAGAAAGAGUUUCGCAUGAAUCUAGAUAUCAUUCUCUCUCUCUCUCUCUCACUCUCUCUUUUUUCUUUUCUUUUUUUUUUUUGAUAUAUUUUGAGUUUUAGAAGCCAAAGUCUUUUUCAAGAAAAGUUGAAGCGCAUUUGUCACAGAGAGAUUUUCCUUAUCACAACUGUGGCUCUUCGAUUCAAGGCUUUCUGAAAGAAACAAAGAAAAAAAACUUUUCCCUCUUCAAAGCAACUUUUCUCAACAUACUCUACUACAUCACUGCUGCCCAAGGUUAUGGCUUUGUAUGUCACAUCGAAUGAUUGAGGCCAUAUUGGUUCAUUGACUGGGAACAAUUGUUUUUUCCCCAAAAUUGUUCAAAUACCUUAAAUUUAAAUCUACUAUUCCGACCCGCCCGAAGGCACACGGAAAAAUUUGAAUAACCGAAUCUCCGCAACAGCAACAAUGGCGGAGACUGUGCUUGAGUCCUAAGGGCAUUACUGGCCAAGGUACAACCCUUCCCUUGGGAAGUUCGUCCCAUCGUCGAUGGGAGGAGCCGACUCCACCUUUUUCUGUGUCCACCAGGGUAGAGAGAACCAACCACCAUGCAGAGAACUUCUCAACUCUCACCUUCUCUUC